GAUGAACGCUAGCUACAGGCUUAACACAUGCAAGUCGCGGGGCAGCAUGGGGGUUGCUUGCAAUCCCCGAUGGCGACCGGCGCACGGGUGAGUAACGCGUACCCAACCUGCCCUUCACCACGGGAUAACCCGGCGAAAGUCGGACUAAUACCGUAUGUUGUCCAUUGACGGCAUCCGAUUUGGACGAAAGGUUUGGCGGUGAAGGAUGGGGAUGCGUCCGAUUAGCUGGACGGCGGGGUGACGGCCCACCGUGGCGACGAUCGGUAGGGGUUCUGAGAGGAAGGUCCCCCACACUGGAACUGAGACACGGUCCAGACUCCUACGGGAGGCAGCAGUGAGGAAUAUUGGUCAAUGGGCGUAAGCCUGAACCAGCCAAGUAGCGUGCAGGAUGACGGCCCUAUGGGUGGUAAACUGCUUUUAUGCGGGGAUAAAGUGGCCCACGUGUGGGUUUUUGCAGGUACCGCAUGAAUAAGGACCGGCUAAUUCCGUG
rnacentral:rRNA from 1 species